AGCAUCAGGUUACUAGUGAGAUAUGUUGUUUGCACAAAUUGUUUGCAGCAGAGCACGGUAAUUUAUGUGAGUAAAAUAAACAUUAUUUUUUACAUCAACUCAUAAGUUAUGUGAAAGUUCCCCAGGAGCAUUGUUCAAAUACUUUGGAGGCACAGAAUCAGCCCAGAGCCAGUCCACAUCCUCAGGCUCAACUGUGAGUGAUGAAUCAGGUCCAUCUCCAUCCUCUACAGUGCUCUCUCACACACCUCCAUCCUCUGUGCCCACUGUCCCCUCCAUGUCUGAAACCACAGCUGAUUUAUCUACAACUUCCACCACAACGUCCCCUUCACACCAUGGACCAUCAUCAGCUCCGCCAGUUGACCCAGCUGAGUGGCCUUCUUUCCUCUCAGAUUCAGACAGGACUGAGCAGGUGAUCAGAGGACCACUGUCUAUUAAGGAGAACUUUUCAUUCCCCAAACGGCAUGAUGGCCCAAGUUUUCAUUAUCAUUAUACCUACAGACAGCUAGUCAAUGGAGAAAAAGUCAAGCGUAGCUGGCUGACUUAUUCAAGAAGUAAAGAUGCAGUCUAUUGCUUUUGCUGCAAAUUAUUUUCCAAAAAGUCCUAAAAACUGGCAGCCGAGGGACAGCUGGAUUGGGUCAACAUAGGUGCACUGCUGAAACAGCAUGAAAACAGUGAAGAUCAUUGUAGCAACAUGGUGAAAUGGAAGGAAUUUGCCUUGCGUCUUUCAAAGGGGAAAACUAUUGAGAAUUUAACUUCAGUAGACUGCGCUCUCUUUGUACAAAGUAAACAUUAAA